GAUAGUGUGUGAGACGAAGCCCACACGGAAGUUCGCAUAAAUUGAUGAUUUGCAAAUUUUUACGCGGCUAAAGUUCGAAACGCGAUUUCUAUUUUUCUGAAGAGUUUUUAUAAUAAAUAUAUCAGUAAUGUGUUACUAAAUGAAUUUCUUGAGACUUAUACGUGUUGAAUGAAGUGUCCGUAAAGUACUUUUGUAUAAAAUAUAUUAAAUAUUUCGGUUAAAUCUUGUUAAGUUUGUUAUUGAAUCAUUGUUAUAGAAUCAAGCAACCGUCGAUCCCUUAUUGCAGCAUAUUUCCAAAGUAACAUAUCCAUACAGAUUCAUAAUAUGAAUAGUAAAUCAAUAUUAUAUGCUAAAGUUCCAAUUGCAUACUACACUCUGCAUAUGCCUUGUGACCUCUGCUGAAGGUCAUUCAACUAUAAGUCAUGAUGGUUUAAAUAAUGCUAUGCUCAGCAGCUACUACAUUGUUAUGCUAACAAUUAACGUACCUUUGGUCAACCAAUGUGCGCUACUUAAAUCGGCAGGUAAUCUACAUUUCUUCUCCGAUUACCAGCCAAUGGCAACUGCUUGACAUGUAUUGACCAGCUGAAUAAAGGACUGAAAGGCUGAACAAAGAAAAAAGGAGGAGCGUAUUGAGCACCAUAACAGCAUUGCAUGCACAAUCCAUAGCUGCUCUUACUGCAACUCAAGCUGCAAGAGCGCCACUACAAACUGUUUGACUCACUAUGCAACAAGUUCACGUUUAAUGCUAUUUAUAAGUCGGUAUUAUGCAAACAAUGCCAUUUGCAGAAAAUAGCAUCAAAUGCUCAAGCAGAAACGCGCAUAAGAAAUACCAAAGCAAUUACUGCCACAAUUUUGUAAAUAUUUGGAAUGAAACGAAGUGCAUUUCUGCAUAUAAAUAGGUGAGUAAAUAUUAAAUAGAUAAUAUAAUGCAAAGUAUUUCAUAUAAAUGUAUGUCUAUAAGUAUUUAUGAUCGUAGUUGCUUCGACAGCCAGGAUUUCCUUAUAGUUUAUUUACAUAUAUGUUAAUAUUUUACACCGUUGGCGCAAAUAAAAUAAAAAACUGUUUAUUUAGUUAAGCACUGUGGUAGUGCUUUACUUGCUGUUGCUAUCAAACGACUUACCUUGGAGCCAUUCUGUAGUUCGACUUGUGUGUGCAGCUGCCUCCUGCCUCGUGGUGCGCACCUGCUUGGCCUCUGCGCAAAUUGCCUUAACUUCCUUUGCUGCUGCUGUACUUUUAUUUUUCAAGUGUUUAGCAUACAUUUGCAUUUACUUUUCUCCAGCUUUACUGCCUGCAAUUGCGUGCUUGUGAUUUGUAUAUUAUUGUUGCUGCUGCUGUCUUUUUUUUAUUCAUUCGCGUCUUUAUUCGCAGCAUUUCUUUGCAAAUUACGUUUUUUUUAUUUUAUUUACACUUGCAUCGUGUUGGAUUUUAUUUUUAACUGCCAUACAGAUGCAGUAACUUAUGUAAUUAUUUAUCAAAGUUGGCAGAUGUUGAAAGGAUUUUCUUUGUUUUAUAUUAUGUAACUGUGUAUUGAGAUUGGUAUUUAAAUGAUAGUUCGAAAUUCUAUAAUUAGGUAUGAAAGUGCUUCGGAUAAGUAGAAGUAGAAACAAGAACAUAUUGAUUGAGCGUUGUUAUUGUUUCCUUGGACAAGUGUGAACAUUUUUGUGAGGUUAUAUAAAGCUAGACCCAAGUUUUUUUACAAGAAUACAAAUCUAUAAACUAUUUAGAUAUUGAUUUAUUUCAGUUAAACUACAAUGUCUACAACAAACAAAUCAAAUUUUUCUUUGACAUGAACUAUAUAUAACACAUAUGCUGGUGGGACGAUAUCAAUAUAUAUCGCUGAGUUUUUAUUGUACCGGAUAUAUGAUUUCCUGUAACUUACUUGACAAUCACGAAGCUUCUUUGCUGUAUGGGUUGUUGUUGUUGUAGCGGCAUAAACAUUCUCCAGAUAAUUUGCUGCCGAUUUAA